rnacentral:lncRNA from 1 species
UUUAGAUAUAUGCUUUACUUCUGUUCUUGAGAGAAUAUUUGAGGACGAGAGCCCACCGUCUGUCGCUUCUCUCAGAAGUUUCUUCUUCCUCCACGCAAAUUAAUUAGCUGCUCCUAAGUCACAUCUUAUGAAGAAGGUUCGGUGGUCAAGCAAGAAAGGAACUGCUGGUUAGGGGAAAGAUAAUAGGUAGGUGGAUACAAACGUGCUCGAUCGAAUUCGUCCACGUAAAUCUCACCGCUCCCCUUAUAUGUCCCUCACGCCAUGUUAGGUCAUGUGAAGAAGACCGCCGAAGAGAGCAGCCAAUGACAAGAGUUCCGUCCGUCUUCC